rnacentral:lncRNA from 7 species
ACAAAACCAGACUAUCUGAUGGACUGCAUUAUUUUUCCAGGCGGCUUGGAACUGCAACUGCAAAUCUCCUGUGCUGCUGAGAGGGUAUCUGGAGGCUUUCCUCAAAGCUGAGCUUCAACAGGAACAGAGAGGAUUCAGAUGAUUGGUAUAAGAAUCCAGGCAUUAAUAAUGAUUAUUUGAUCAUGGUUUUGGAAUAAUAAGAAGAUAUUCCCUGUCUACAUAUGUGGAGUGAUGUUUCUAAAGAAAAUGGAGUACAGAAGUCAUUUUGAUCUCUGAUGGGUGAAACUCAUUGGAAUGGAAACAAACAUCUAUGGAACAAACCAAGGCUCGCCAUGUCUUACAUCUGCCAAGUGCCUGGGGACUCCAAAGGCAGCAAAGUAUGAAGAAUACCAAAGAAACAAAAAAGAACAGAAAAGCCCAUCUGAAUUUCAGGAUGUUUUACUGGAACCUGAGAUGAGUUUGCUGUCUGUGUCAUCCAUAAUAGACCACAGUGAGACAUCCUUGCAACCUGCUGGGACUGCAGAGAGUGUUAGUGCCACCAAUCAAUCUGAAGCAGAGCAGCUCUGUGAAGAAUUAUUGCAUUCUGCAAGGCACAAGCCAAAGGAAGAAGCUCUAAACUUUACCUCACACAUAGAAUGGCCACUCCUUGCCAGAGAAAAUCCAGCCAAGAAACCAGAAAGGAGACAUGAAAUCAGAGUCAUAAGACACAAGCCAAGUGCUAUCACAUUUUCUGAUUUUGAAUUUUUAUCACGUGAAGGUAAUACUAAACUCCAUAUUUCUGAGGCAGGAGAAGAAGACUUUUCAUCUGAAGAGGAAGAAGCAGAUGGCAGAGGUGAUGAUGAUCUGUUUACAGAACUGCCGCUGUAUGAAGCAUUUUUCAAUGGCCUUCACAGAACGGAUGUUUUCCCAAGAAAGCACGCUAAAUGUGAGCUUACUGAGUAUCCACACAUCUGUCAUUUAGAAGACUGUGAUGAUAAUUCAAAAACGGAACCGAAGGACCAUGAUAAGGAAGAAAAACACACGGAGCUGGAGGUAACAGAAGCUAUUGUUUUGUUCCAAGUGUAAUUUAAAUAAGUGGUAUAAUUUAAGCUUUGUCACAGGAGGAGAUCUUACACAAAUUGUUAUACUGUGAUAAGCAAUGUUAAUUACAUAAUUAAGAAUAUAAACCUACAGUAAUAUAUAAAAUAUAUUUAUAU